rnacentral:rRNA from 1 species
UGGGGAAUCUUGCACAAUGCGCGAAAGCGUGAUGCAGCAACGCCGCGUGCGGGAAGAAGGCCUUAGGGUUGUAAACCGCUUUCAGUUGGGACGAAGCUUCGCGAGUUAAUAGCUCAUUGGAGUGACGGUACCUUCAGAAGAAGCGCCGGCUAACUACGUGCCAGCAGCCGCGGUAAUACGUAGGGCGCGAGCGUUGUCCGGAAUCAUUGGGCGUAAAGCGCGUGUAGGCGGCCGAGUAAGUCUGCUGUGAAAGUCCAGGGCUCAACCCUGGGAUGCCGCAGAUACUGCUUGGCUAGAGUACGGGAGGGGCGAGUGGAAUUCCUGGUGUAGCGGUGGAAUGCGCAGAUAUCAGGAGGAACACCUAUGGCGAAGGCAGCUCGCUGGAACGUUACUGACGCUGAGACGCGAAAGCGUGGGGAGCAAACAG